UCUUAUUCUUCUGAUUUUUUUUAAUACAAAUCCAACAUUGCCAAACAUUUACAACAUAAAUAACUAAGUAGAAAAGAGAAAAAUAUGGACUAAAAUAAUCAAAUCAAAUAAUGAAUCAAAAGUCAAAUUUCCUACCAUAACUUUCAUAAACAUCCACCAUGUAUUUCAUUAUCUAAAAUGCAUUUAAUUUAUUUGUUUAGAUUCCAUAAAUUCAUUACCAUAUCAUAUCUAUGGUCCUUUCCCAUGCUCUUAAUGCUUACCAUUCCACACCCUCUCACAUAUUCAUAACUACACAUCAUUGUUUCCUCUUCCCUUUCUCUCUCUCUCUCUCUCAAUAUAUAUAUAAAUUGCACACUCACAAUUCACAUAUAUUUAAUUAUAUAUACUCAUCACAUAGACCCUUUUCUCUUCCAUCCUAAAGUAUCCUUAUUUAAAAAACUCUUGAAUCCCUUCAUAAGUGGAGUGAAGAGUGUUCUUUUCCAAAACAAAACAAUACAACAAGAAACAUCAAAUCUAAGAAAGUGAUUAUGGGUCUUGGAAGAUUAGUAGGGACACUAAAGUCCAAAAUAAAGUCAUUGAAAUUGAAGAAACCUUACAACAAGGUUGAGAAGAGUGAGAGUAUGAGAGUGGAGAUAAAGAGCAGAAAAGCCAGGAAGCUUAUUGAAGAAACUCUCAAGAUUGCUGAUUCACCUAAGACAAAAUCUUUCAACUUCUGAUCCUAGCAUCUACCUUAAUAACAUGUUCAGCGUAUGUAACAAACCUUUUUAAGGUUCUUUUCAUGUUCUUUGUAUGUAAUCUAAUAUAAUUUCAAUGAAAUAUAAUUAGCUUUUCAUUA